rnacentral:rRNA from 1 species
GAUGAACGCUGGCGGCGUGCUUAACACAUGCAAGUCGAACGGGAUCCAUCAAGCUUGCUUGGUGGUGAGAGUGGCGAACGGGUGAGUAAUGCGUGACCGUCCUGCCCCAUACACCGGAAUAGCUCCUGGAAACGGGUGGUAAUGCCGGAUGCUCCAGUUGAUCGCAUGGUCUUCUGGGAAAGCUUUCGCGGUAUGGGAUGGGGUCGCGUCCUAUCAGCUUGACGGCGGGGUAACGGCCCACCGUGGCUUCGACGGGUAGCCGGCCUGAGAGGGCGACCGGCCACAUUGGGACUGAGAUACGGCCCAGACUCCUACGGGAGGCAGCAGUGGGGAAUAUUGCACAAUGGGCGCAAGCCUGAUGUAGCGACGCCGCGUGAGGGAUGGAGGCCUUCGGGUUGUAAACCUCUUUUAUCGGGGAGCAAGCGAGAGUGAGUUUACCCGUUGAAUAAGCAC